rnacentral:lncRNA from 1 species
GUUUAUAUACCAAACAGGCUACCAACAUGGAUACAAAAAACGGUUUUUGGAACAUUUCUACAUAGAAGUUGAGAAGGCACUGCAAGGAAAACACAAAGAUAAUUAACCAAAACAUGGCCCCUCCACUGAAGCAAGACUAUAUUAACAGUAUCUUAUAUACUGGGCAACAGGAAAUUCACAAAGAGUCUAGCAAGACACGUGGGAAGAAGAAUAGCAUACAGAAGGACACCGAAUAUAUUUAAUACCUUAAGGAAUGAGAAGAAUAAAAAAAAAACUUAGAAAAAUCAGCUAUCAGUGUCUAUAAGAUACCAUUCAAAUAUCAAGAUACACAUAGGAAAGCAGCACAUACAGGCAUGAUAAAGAGAACACUGGGCCAAAGAAUUAAAGAACACGAGAGAUAUAAGAAAAGCGAAUAUGAGCACAACAUUAGCAACGGAAGUGUAUAGUGCAGACAUAACGGUAGAUUGGAAAAACGCCAGGAUUGUAAGACACAUUAGAAAUGAAUCACAAGUCUUAAUAGCAGAAACGAUUGAAAUAUCAAGAAGAAAGAAGGCAGAAACCAUCAUCAAUGAUAGAUCAUCAGUAGAAUUGUCACCAGCAUGGGAGUAUAUCCUAAAAAAGACCACCCAAUAAAGAUCUAACAAGUGGAGGCAUGAUCAAUCUGCAAUUUUGUUUUAAAGAAAAUUAUGUAUUUAACUACAUCUUAUAUUCAUUUAUAAUAGUAAAUUAUUUUUAUUUUAUUGCAUUUAUGCCACCUAACCAAGUAAUCAAGACAGCAACUGUUAUCUGUUUGAACUUUGUUCCAUUGUGCUAAUAUUCCAUAACUGUGGGACCUG